GGAAAAAAGAAUUGUUAAAGUCAAUAAGACUAAAAACGAAAAGACUCGAAUUGUCAAUAAUCAAAGGAGGAACAUCGCUCGUUAGGAAAGGAAACCUUGAAUCUUCCUCUCGACGUUGUGCAGAUAGCAUCUUCUACCUCCACUUUAUCUCAUAAUGGAAGAUUCUCUCCAUAGCAAAGGUAUCAGAGCUUCUCGAUCCUCAUGAUUGUGGAAGAAGUGACGACCAAGGUGCAGAAAGAGCUUGGUAUGAUGCAAGGGGAACUUGCUCAGCUGCAAGUUAAGGAUUGACGCGAGGUUGAAGGAUUUCCAAGAGGGACUUAAGUCGGAAGUCCGGUCAGAGAUACGAUCUGAGCUUAGAUCUGAGCUUCAUUUGUUGUUUGAGCAGUAUUUUGGGCAGGUUCCUCCUGUUCUAGUUACUGGGUUGGCGUCGAGAAAGGGAAGGGAAUUUUAGGUUCUCCUUCUGGGUUUUUUGCGAAAGAACGUCUCAUAGUGUCUUCGAUGCCAGAUUUGGGACACUCGAGUAUGUCUUCACGUGGAGGUACAGUCGAAACUGUAAAUACUUCCUUUCGAGUUGACUGUUCGCGUUUUGAUGGUGAGAAUUUUGAAGCCGAAAGUGUCCGUGAUCAUUCUAAGAUUAGGGUGGUCAUGUUACAUUUAGAGGGCAUUAAACUGGCAUCACUUCUUUGUACAGAGGUAUGAAGGGUUACAUCAGUUAACUUGGGAGCUGUAUGCUAGGAAGAUUAGGGAGCGUUUUGGUUUUGACUUUUUUCUCGAUCCCAUGACUGAGUUAGUAACUCUCAAGUAACAUGGAUCCGGUGAUCAGUUUCGUGAUGGAUUUUUGAGUUUGUUAAAUCAGUUAAGCUUGCCUGAAUCUUAUGCUUUGAGUAUAUUCAUCAGUAAUUUGAAGCCGAAAAUUGGGCAGUAUCUCAGGCUGUUUAAACCUCAAUCGUUGAUGGAAGGUUACAACCUAGCUAGGCAGGUUGAAAAUAUUGUGUGUGGACCAUCAAAGAAGGGGUUUAGUACUGGCAGUGGCUUUAGUUCAUCGCGACCUUUAUUUCUUACUUUACGAGUACAACAAGGAAUGGGGAGUUCGCCUUCAACAGGGGGUCGGUGCAAGGUAACACGGGACAAAGAAUUCCAUCUAAGUCUUUGUCCCAAGCAGAAUUGGAUGAUAGACAAAAGAAGGGCCUUUGUUUUUGGUGUGGUUCGAAAUACUUUCCACGCCAUAAGUGUUCUAAGUCCCAAAUGUAUCAACUUGUUAUUGAACCAAUGUAGGAACAAGGAUCUGAUGUUAAAAGUCCAUCAUCUGAAGGGUCUUCGGAUUAUCUUGAACCAUCGGACUUAAUGGAUCCGAUUUCGGAGAGUCCCGUGUUGUCGUUGUAUGCUUUGUAGGGUUUACAAGGACCUAAUACCAUGCGUUCCUCAGCUGUUAUUGACCACACUGAAGUAGUUGUGUUGGUGGAUUCUGGGAGUACACACAAUUUUGUCGACUUAAGGUGGAUAAAAGGCUGAAUUUAGUGGUGGAGCUGAGUAGUACUUUGCGAGUAAUGGUAGGAAAUGGGGUUCGACUAUCUACUCAAGGAUUAUGUAGAACAGUUUCAUGAGAGACGUAGGGUUAUCAGAUUACUACUGAUUUUCUAAUUUUGUCAGUAAAAGGGUUUGAUUUGGUGCUUGGCAUUCAGUGGCUGUUAUCCCUUAGUCCAAUUGUGUGGAAUUUUUCCAGUUUGACCAUGCAAUUUAAACACAUGGAACAGGACUGUGUGUUGUAAGGUAUUGUACCAGGCUCACUUCAGAUUGUUUCCAGUAACCAACUUGCUAAGUGCUUAAGUUUGGUCGAUAAUGGCCCGUGUCCGAUGUUACUGACUUCUUGUGAUCAGACUAAUCUUACAAUGCAACUAGCUCAGCUUCCACUUGAUUUGGAAGGUCUUCUUGCUAACUUUGAAGACAUCUUCCAACUUCCUAUAGGUUUACCACCAAACCGAUUGCAGGAUCAUCGAAUUCCCUUGAUGGAUGAGUCCAAGGUUGUCAAAGUGCGACCUUAUCGAUAUCCAGCAGUUCAAAAAAUAGAAAUAGAGAAGUUGAUACAAAAAAUGUUAGAUGCGGGCAUAAUUCGGGAUAGCAACAGUCCAUUCGCAUCUCUAUGGUGAUGGUCAAAAAGAAGGAUGGCAGUUGGCGGUUGUGUGUGGGCUAUAGGCAACUUAACAAAUUGACAGUCAAAGAUAAAUUUCCUAUUCCAAUCAUUGAGGAGCUUCUAGAUGAAAUGGGGCAAGCACAAUUUUUCUCCAAAUUGGAUUUGCGUUCGGGCAACCACCAGAUUCGAAUGUAUGAGCAAGAUGUGUACAAAACAACUUUUAAAACUCAUACGGGUCAUUAUGAAUUCUUGGUCAUGCCAUUUGGCCUGACCAAUGCUCCAUCGAGCUUCCAGUCUUUGAUGAAUUCGAUAUUUCGGUCCUGUUUGAGAAAGUUUUUCUUGUUUUCUUUGAUGACAUACUCGUUUAUUCACAAAGGUGGGCUGAUCAUUUAGUCCAUUUGCAAUAGGUGCUUCAAGUGUUGCGGUCUAACCAGCUCUAUGCUAAGAAGUCCAAGUGUAUUUUUGGUGCUACACAGGUUGAAUACCUUGGCCACGUGAUUUCUCAAGGAGUGGUUAGCAUGGAUCGUACCAAAGUGGAUGGUGUGUUAGAUUGGUCUCCACUGACAUCAGUCAAUGAGUUGCGAGGGUUUUUGGGACUCUCCGGGUACUACAAACGCUUUCUUCGAGGUUAUGGUCUGUUGGUUAAGCCCCUUACUGUUUUGCUAAAAAAUGAUGUACCAUGGCAAUAGAUAGUGCAGGAACAAAUUGCUUUCGAUCAGCUCAAGAAGGUCGUUUGUCAGGCCCCGGUUCUUGCAUUACCAAAUUUUCAAGAACCCUUUUGUGUGGAAACCGAUGCUAGUGGUCAAGGGGUUGGGGCUGUUUUGCAACAAAAUGGCCGGCCAAUAGCAUACUUCAGUAAGGCAUUGGGAGUUAAGUAUUAGGCCUUGUCCAUCUAUGACAAGGAAAUGCUUGCGGUCUUGCUUGCGGUGAAGAAAUGACAUUCUUAUUUGGUCGGCCAACAUUUCUUUAUCAAAACAAAUCACCAGAGCUUAAAGUUUCUUUCUGAACAACAAGCAAUCACACCUUAUCAAUAAAAGUGGGUUUUUUUUUUUUUGUUUCUGUAUUAGUUAUGUUUUAAUAACAUAUAUAAUUUUUUUGUGUUGAAUUAUAAUUAUUAGCAUGUUUUAUUUAGUUGAACUGGACGAAUUAGUUGAAUUGUAUAAUCAAUGACUUGAUUGAUUUGAUUAGUAGUUCAAAAA